rnacentral:rRNA from 1 species
GAGUUUGAUCCUGGCUCAGGACGAACGCUGGCGGCGUGCUUAACACAUGCAAGUCGAACGAGAAGAGAUGAGAAGCUUGCUUCUUAUUGAUUCGAGUGGCAAACGGGUGAGUAACGCGUAAGCAACCUGCCCUCUAGAUGGGGACAACAGCUGGAAACGGCUGCUAAUACCGAAUACGUUCUUUCUGUCGCAUGGCAGAAGGAAGAAAGGGAGGCUCUUCGGAGCUUUCGCUGGAGGAGGGGCUUGCGUCUGAUUAGCUAGUUGGAGGGGUAACGGCCCACCAAGGCGACGAUCAGUAGCCGGUCUGAGAGGAUGAACGGCCACAUUGGGACUGAGACACGGCCCAGACUCCUACGGGAGGCAGCAGUGGGGAAUCUUCCGCAAUGGACGAAAGUCUGACGGAGCAACGCCGCGUGAACGAUGA